GAUGAACGCUGGCGGCGUGCCUAAUACAUGCAAGUCGAGCGAACAGACGAGGAGCUUGCUCCUCUGACGUUAGCGGCGGACGGGUGAGUAACACGUGGAUAACCUACCUAUAAGACUGGGAUAACUUCGGGAAACCGGAGCUAAUACCGGAUAAUAUAUUGAACCGCAUGGUUCAAUAGUGAAAGACGGUUUUGCUGUCACUUAUAGAUGGAUCCGCGCCGCAUUAGCUAGUUGGUAAGGUAACGGCUUACCAAGGCAACGAUGCGUAGCCGACCUGAGAGGGUGAUCGGCCACACUGGAACUGAGACACGGUCCAGACUCCUACGGGAGGCAGCAGUAGGGAAUCUUCCGCAAUGGGCGAAAGCCUGACGGAGCAACGCCGCGUGAGUGAUGACGGUCUUCGGAUCGUAAAACUCUGUUAUUAGGGAAGAACAAAUGUGUAAGUAACUAUGCACGUCUUGACGGUACCUAAGCAGAAAGCCACGGCUAACUACGU
rnacentral:rRNA from 1 species